rnacentral:rRNA from 1 species
GCUACGGGAGGCAGCAGUGAGGAAUAUUGGUCAAUGGGCGCGAGCCUGAACCAGCCAAGUAGCGUGAAGGAUGACUGCCCUACGGGUUGUAAACUUCUUUUAUAAAGGAAUAAAGUGAGGCACGUGUGCCUUUUUGUAUGUACUUUAUGAAUAAGGAUCGGCUAACUCCGUGCCAGCAGCCGCGGUAAUACGGAGGAUCCGAGCGUUAUCCGGAUUUAUUGGGUUUAAAGGGGGCGUAGAUGGGUUGUUAAGUCAGUUGUGAAAGGUUGCGGCUCAACCGUAAGAUUGCAAUUGAUACGGGCAGUAUUGAGGAGAGGUGAGGUAGGCGGAAUUCGUGGUGUAGCGGUGAAAUGCAUAGAUAUCACGAAGAACUCCGAUUGCGAAGGCAGCUUACUAAACUGCCACUGACAUUGAUGCUCGAAAGUGUGGGUAUCAAACAGGAUUAGAUACCCCUGUAGUC